rnacentral:rRNA from 1 species
GUGCAGCAGGCGAGAAACCUCCGCAAUACACGAAAGUGUGACGGGGCCAUCCCGAGUGCCGUCCGCUGAGGACGGCUUUUCCCCAGUGUACACAGCUGGGGGAAUAAGGAGAGGGCAAGCCUGGUGUCAGCCGCCGCGGUAAUACCAGCUCUCCGAGUGGUGGGGACGCUUAUUGGGCCUAAAGCAUCCGUAGCCGGCUGGGCAAGUCCUCCGUUAAAUCCAACGAUUCAAUCGUUGGGCUGCGGGGGAUACUGUCCAGCUUGGGGGCGGGAGAGGCCGACGGUAUUCCCGGGGUAGGGGUGAAAUCCUAUAAUCCCGGGAGGACCACCAGUGGCGAAGGCUGUCGGCUAGAACGCGCCCGACGGUGAGGGAUGAAAGCUGGGGGAGCGAACCGGAUUAGAUACCCGGGUAGU